AAGCAGAGCAAGCGCGAAGGUUGGGGGCGAGGUGGGAGGUUGGGAUGGCACGGGUGCCUGGACAAAGACGUGACAUCUAAGAUUUCCCUUUGAAACUUUUUGCUGGUCUGCACUCCACCACCACUUCGAGGUCCCGCGCACACGCCCCCGCGCGCACCCACCUCCUCCGGAGUGUACCCGCACGUGCCCUCGCUCUGGCCCCCGCCUCCACCCACUGGCACCUCUCCCCGCACCACACCUCCGCUUGCGCCCACCUUACCCUCAGAGGCCCGCGUCUCUAUCUCCCUUUAGAUCCCGUUGCCCGCGCUCUCCUUUCCCUUUUCUGUCGCUUUAAUCUCAUUCAGCAGAAGCGCUCCCCUGUUUCACCGAGGGCAUGCCCUUAGUGCUUUAGGGGCCUGUAUUUUUAAAGACCCGACAAACUGGGAAAUUGACCGAGUUCUGUUUCUCCCCGCCCCGGCCCACCUUCUGUUUACUUUAGCCACGUGGGCUGAGUAGAAGGGGGCGUCUCACAGAUUGAAAUAGGUUUCUCACUAGUGACCCCCUACUUCUCGCUAGGAGGAAAUAAACCUGCACUUUCAAAUGCUUAAGUUGCCUCUCGUAAGAGCCCUUACUUUGAAGUAGUUUCCCCCCGUACAAUUAAGUAAUGAAGAAACCGACCGAUACAGAGCUAAUUCCGAAUGACGGAUGCUUGAUUUUCCCUGACAUUCGGAGCUCUGUAACUAUGCUCUUCCUUUGACCGGAGUUUUUCUCUAUUGCCGAGUAGUGUUACUUCCCCCUUCUAAUGCUCCUUUUUCUAAUCAUCAACUUUUUAUUUGAAGAUGAGAUGAAGAACAAAGCCCAUAUGAGUCAUAGUCAAAAAAUUGAGGAAGACAUAAUUAGCAGCUGAAGAAUGACUCAGAUCAUCAGUAGUGAAUAAGAAUGAUUAGGGGGAAAUGUAAGUGACAGGAACAAUGCCCUGAAGCAGUGGGGAGAAAGAAGUACUGAACAUUGCCUGAGUUCCAUGUGUGAAGAAUAUUCUGUUUUGUUGUUGUUGUUAUUCUCAUGGGAAAAUUCUACUGAUAGAGUUGUGUCAAAAAUUUUAAAGUUUUUAAGCCAUUCCUAUAAUCUUGGCAAUUAGACCAGUUGAAUAUGAUUUUUUUUCUUUUUCCAAAAUAAUAGUCAUGCAAUAGUUUAUGAGUGUUAUUAUCUGGCAUCAUGCUAACAGUUAGUGCAAUUCUUCCUGGAAGGAAGACCUAUAGAGAUUAAACAAUGUUUAGGCCCCAGUAAGUUAAAUUAUUCCCUUUCCGACAGACACCCUAUAUGGAGAAGGCAAAUUAAAAAGGAAGUAAGGUAGCUAUUAGUUGAUAUCCAAUUUUCUUCAAAUCUUCUAAAGUGUGUUUUCAUAUUUUCUGGAGAUGUGUGGGAAAAUUGAGCUCUGACUCAGAUCCAACUCAAAGCCUGUGCAAGCAUGAGAGGCUAAGUAGUUUCCUGCGAAGCUCUGCACUACCAACCUCUGUUUAAUUUGUUUUCUUAUGUUAUAUCUCAGAGUACAAUAUUAUUAUGAUUUGGCAGAAAACCUUGAUCUGUUAGUAAUUAGGCAUACCACUAAAGUGAACAUGGGUUGGUUGCCAGGCAAUUGUUCUGCAUUUCACAAUGACUUGUAUACUCAAGAGAAUAAAUUAUAUCCAAGCAGGGACCACAAAACAGGGGUUUCUGACAGGCUAGGGUAGAAGGUGAAAACACACACACACAGACACACACACACACACAUCAGAAUAGCAAAAACAAAUCCCAAAGGAGCAUUUCAUUGAGGUUCUCUGAAAUCUUAUGAACACUGGCCCUAGUUUGACUGGAUAGGAAGAUGCAAGACAGUGAGAACUAUUGAAGAAGGGUUUCUUUAGCAUGGAUUAGUGGUCAGGUGCAUGCUGAUCCUAGGGUGAUGAUGAUAAAUUUUAAUGAAGAAAAUUUUCUGAAACCCCUUUAGUAACACAAUGUCAAUAGGCACUGUCUACUAGUGAACAAGAAUGAGAGAGUCUCUAAAUUUAAAUUUGGUGAAACAGUAAAGUCAUAAUUUUGAUAAGUGAGAAUUGCUGUUAAAGGUAAAGGUAGUGUGAGGUCAAAAAUAGAUAUUCAAAAAAUUUAGAAAGAGAAACUCCAAAAACACACUUAUUGGAAGUGUUAAACUUAGGCAAUAAGUAUAUGAUAGGAUCCAAGAUUGUAGUCUAGCCUCCACUACUGAAAACCUACAAAAAACCUUUAAAAUGCAUUAUGUCAUUUAGUAUUUACAGUAAUCUUGAAAACAGGUAAGACCAUUAUAAUUUCCAUUUUAUUGAAUUUUACUUUUUUAACACCAGGGAACAUGUGUUUAAUACAUGAAGGAACGUGUCAGAGAGAUUAAGAACUUGCCCAUGGUGACACAGCAGGUGAUAAAUUCUCAAAUUCAAGUUUUCUUCAGUAUUCUUUCCACAAACUAAAGGGAAAUAGCCAACUUUAAUUCUUUCCUGAAGGCAGAAAAGAAGCUCUUACCAACUUGUGACAUUGUAUCAUAGGUUGAUACAUUUUCAUUCCUUGCCUGUGCUCACACAGAUAGAGGAGAAUGCUACAGUAAAGGAAACAUUUAGGAAGAGAGUGCUUUGUGUAUUUUUUUUAAGUAGGCCAUCCACUGUGAUAGUAAUUCUGUUUAUUCCAAAUGUGAGAUGAAAGUUAAUCUGUUCCCUAAAAGCAUUUCUAAGGGAAAGAAUAAGUUAUUCAAAGGCAUGAAAGACAAAAUGUUUGGAGCUCUUACUUGCUGUCUCCCCUUCAAAGCAACUGAGAAAGAUGUUUGGAUGAAGGGGAGAGAGAGGAGAGAGAAAGAGCUAGAGGGAGAGAAGUUUGUGUGUGUGUGUGUGUGUGUGUGUGUGUGUGUGUGUGUGUGUGUGUAAGUAAUGAGAAAAAAUCAUUAGACCAGAAGUUUAUAAACUGAAAGUUUUAUGAAAAGUUUUUUUUUUAAAUUUUGAAAUUUAUUGAAACAAUUCCCCUUUUUAUUGAUUAAGGCUGGAGGGAUGGGGCUUGGUGGAUUUAGUUUAGAGUUUCAAAUUCACAUAUUUUCUAAUGAAACAAAAACUCAGAAUGAAACUUGAUGCAUACAAUCUGGAAUGAGUGAAACAUUUUGCUCUAAACUAUUUCAUGAAAAGAAAAAUUUCAUAUAAUUCUGGUAAAUAAUAAUGUUCUCCAACAAGGCUGCUUACCGAGCAAUAAUGCUUAUUGCAUAUCCAAUAUCUUUAGAAAAAGGGCAAAUGUAGAAUGUAUUUAUUAUAGAAUCAUUAGCUUUUUGAAACAAUAAUUACUUUACUUGGUAGCAUACAUUUUUACUUUUGAGAGACUUAUUGAUGGGAGCCAAUGGGAAAGAUGUGAAUUUUUGUAGUAAUUUAUAAAAUUCAAAAUCAUAGCUGUGGGGUGACCAAGGAAAUAGUUAUAGUUCCCACUUUUAGUUGGGACUUUUGAAUUGCUUUGCUCCUGAAAGGUAUGUGCCAUGAAUUGAGAGGAGGGAGGAGCUUACCAAAGAAUUUGAGAUGAAUAAAAUCUAACCUAGUCAGGACACAUUUACAGAAUUUUUUUUGUUAAAAAAAACUGUAGAAAUGAAGGCUUGUUAUUCUCAUUUCCAUUACAUAAAUGGUUGCUCAAAUGUGAAUUUCUAAUUUAUCAUAGUUUAUGGUGAUACAUUAAGAGACUAAUGUGUCAUUUGUGUUUUGAUUUCUACAUUCUAGAGAGACAGUUUAAUCAGUCCGUGACCAAAAUCAAACAGAGUAAACUGUGUCAUCAUGGAGAUCUGCCCAGGAAAUCCCCAAAAUACAGAAGGAUCAGAAGUAGAUGGAAAUAAUGUCAUAGAACGUCUCUCACAACUGUGUUAUAAGAAUGACAGGGAAGCUACAGGUUACAACAGAUUUGUGAACUCAGCCAAGCACAGUGGUGGCAGGGCCUAGCUGCUACAAAGAAGACAUGUUUUAGACAAAUACUCAUGUGUAUGGGCAAAAAACUCGAGGACUGUAUUUGUGACUAAUUGUGUAACAGGGUAUUUUAGUUCCUGUUCUGUGGAAAGUGUAAAGCAUUCCAACAAAGGGUUUUAAUGUAGAUUUUUUUUUGCACCCAUGCUUUGAUUGCUAAAUGUAAUAGUCAGAUCGUGACGCUGAAUAAAUGUCUUUUUCUAAAAAAAAA
rnacentral:lncRNA from 1 species